UGGGGAAUAUUGCACAAUGGAGGGAACUCUGAUCCAGCGACGCCGCGUGAGUGAUGAAGGAAUUCGUUUCGUAAAACUCUGUUCUAUGGGAAGAAAAGGACUGUACCAUAGGAGAAAGCUCCGGCUAAAUACGUGCCAGCAGCCGCGGUAAUACGUAUGGAGCGAGCGUUGUCCGGAAUUAUUGGGCGUAAAGGGUGCGCAGGCGGCUUUACAAGUUGGAUGUGAAAUAUUGUGGCUCAACCACAAACGUGCAUCCAAAACUGCAAAGCUUGAGUUAAGGAGAGGUAAGUGGAAUUCCUGGUGUAGCGGUGGAAUGCGUAGAUAUCAGGAGGAAUACCGGUGGCGAAGGCGGCUUACUGGGCUUAAACUGACGCUCAGGCACGAAAGCGUGGGGAGCAAACAGG
rnacentral:rRNA from 1 species